rnacentral:rRNA from 1 species
CUAAGCCAUGCGAGUCGUGAGGGUUCGGCCCUCGGCAGACGGCUCAGUAACACGUAGAUAAUUUGCCCUUAGGUGGAGGAUACCCUCGGGAAACUGAGAAUAAUACUCCAUAGAUUUAAACUGCUGGAAUGCUUUUAAAUUGAAAGAUUUAUCGCCUAAGGAUAAGUCUGCGGACUAUCAGGUUGUAGUUAGGGUAAAUACCUGACUAGCCUACGACGGAUACGGGUAGUGAGAUCUUUAGCCCGGAGAUGAUAUCUGAGACACGAUAUCAGGCCCUACGGGGCGCAGCAGGCGCGAAAACUUCGCACUGUGCGAAAGCACGACGAGGGAAUCCCAAGUGCUGGCUCGUAAGAGUCAGCUGUUUUUCUGUCUAAAAAACAGGGAGAGUAAGAGCUGGGUAAGACGGGUGCCAGCCGCCGCGGUAAUACCUGCAGCUCAAGUGGUGGCCGCUAUUAUUGGGCCUAAAACGUCCGUAGCCGGUUUCAUAAAUGCCUGGGUAAAUCGUACGGCUUAACCGUAUGAAUUCCGGGUAGACUGUUUAACUUGAGACCGGGAGAGGCUAGAGGUACUCCUGGGGUAGAGGUGAAAUUCUGUAAUCCUAGGGGGACCACCAGUGGCGAAGGCGUCUAGCUAGAACGGGUCUGACGGUGAGGGACGAAGCCCUGGGGAGCAAACGGGAUUAGAUACCCCGGUAGUCCAGGGUGUAAACGCUGCUCGCUUGAUGUUAGUCGGGCUCCGAGCCCAACUAGUGUCGGAGAGAAGUUGUUAAGCGAGCUGCCUGGGGAGUACGGUCGCAAGACUGAAACUUAAAGGAAUUGGCGGGGGAGCACCGCAACGGGUGGAGCGUGCGGUUUAAUUGGAUUCAACGCCGGAAAACUCACCGGGGGCGACGGUUAUAUGAAGGCCAGGCUGAUGACCUUGCCUGAUUUUCCGAGGAGGUGGUGCAUGGCCA